AAAGGAGGGGAGAGGGGUGGCCACUAUUACUGGGCUUAAAGCGUUCGUAGCUGGCUUGUUAAGUCUCUGGGGAAAUCUUCCGGCUCAACCGGAAGGCGCCUCAGGGAUACUGGCAGGCUAGGGACCGGAAGAGGUGAGAGGUACUCCAGGGGUAGGAGUGAAAUCCUGUAAUCCUUGGGGGACCACCUGUGGCGAAGGCGUCUCACCAGGACGGCUCCGACAGUGAGGAACGAAAGCUGGGGGAGCAAACCG
rnacentral:rRNA from 1 species